CCGGGUGAACCUGCUGGCGGAUGCUUGUCCAGCCUGGUUGGGCUCCGGAAUGAGCUUUACAGGGGUGACCAGGAGCAGGUGAUGGGGCUGGGCACAGCCCGGAGGGACUGCAACAGCCCCAGUCGGUCCUCACUGCCCAUCCCUGGGACAUUAGGAAAGGGCUGGCCUGAUGCUUUGCAGCCUUUUUCUUGCUGCUACAUUUUAUGGAGCGCUGCCCCAUCCUGCAAAGCCACCCCAGCCUGGCUAGGAUGGAAGCGCCUCCGCCAUGCGACGGUAUUUCCCACUAACCCCGGUUUGGUGCUCACGAGGGCAGGAAAGUCACCCUCGAGAAGCGUUCCCCCAGCUAGGACGAAGGAUCUCCAGGAAGGUGAUGGGACCAAAAAUCCCCCAGCAGGACCCCCUUGCCCAGCUCAUCCCUGCAACCUGCCCUGAGGAAUAUAUUUAGUUGCUCGAUUCCUUUAUGAUUCUGACCCCCUGACAUGGGCUGCAGGGCUGCAGCGGCUCCGCUUUGACUGAUUGUGGAUUUCCUCUCUGCGCUGCCAGAAAGCCGGCGAGCCGGGGCGCGAGAUGGGAAGGCAUUUCCUCAGGCUGCCCGGCCGCUGCCCCAUCUAACCCACGCACGGAGGGGAAAAACCCAGCGCGGGUCCCAAGCCCGGGGUGUUUGUGCAGGUAGGCAGCGAUUUACCACGUGCCUGGGUGUUCCUAUUGACUCUUGUCAGAUUACGAGCGAUGGAGAGCGCGGGGCAGGUUUUGCAGAGACAGCUGGGGGUUCCCAGCAGAAGAGCCGGCUCUCAGCGCUGCGGCUCCCAGCUGCUUUGCCACCGAGGCACAAGAACCAACCCUGCCCAAACACCCGUCCUCGCUGGGUCCGCCAGGCCUUCCCCAGGGACCGCUGCGGGGACCAUUUAUUUGCUAGGAGGAGAAACCACAGCUUUCCCCUUAUCUACCCCCAGCAAGAAAUGUAGGCCAAAAAAAAAAAAAAAAUUGCUAAAAUUUCCAGCACGCAGAGAGUCAUGGUGCUGAAUAUUUCUGCUCUUACUAUUUUUAAAAUGCAGCUUUAACGGUUAUAAAAUAAAUAUAUUUUAGUCCCUUUAGGUUAAAAGGGACUAGCAAGAUUUCCCUCUUGCACAUUAAAAGUUAUAAAAAUGGAUUAAGCUAAGAAAAAAAAGUAUCUCAGAGUGACUCAGAAGCAGAAUUUAAGUUCUCACUUGCUGAGAAAUCGAGCUUCGAUUUGGCGUUGGAACAAUCUUCUCACCUCUGCCACCACGAAAGAUUUUUAUUUUUACCAUAUUCGCCAGUCUCACAUCACUGAAAGUUUGCUUCUGCAAGAGGAAGCUUGCUUAUCCCUGCACGGGACAGGGACAGGGACAGCAGCCUUGGUGAUCGUCCAAGUACUCCCAGCUCUGAGCCUUCCUGGGGUUCCUCGGCCGCUAACGCCGUGCCGAGGAGAUUUAUAACCCUUCACACGUAGCAAACCUCACGCUGCCCCGGGACGAGGAGGAACCAAGCGCAGGACUGCUUCAGAAAUCCUCACGCUCUUUGAGGACAUGCUAUUAUAAGAUCUUUUUAUUUUUUUUUUUUAAGAUAGGCGUGAUGCUCUGCAAUGUUUCCAAUAGACUUUGUGCGGUUUUCCUCUCGGAGCUUCCUUCCUCCUCUUAGCGCUGGCAGGUUUGGAGGUUUUGUGACGUAAAUUGUGCCUUUUGAAGGUGGAUGCUUCAAGAACUUCAGUCUUGUGUGUUUAAACAGGAGAAAAUUGGUUAAUUACAUUGGUGCAUUCAGCUAAUUUUCUUUGCCGAGAGCUGAUUAUCUGAAAGAAGUCGGCACCAGAACUACCUUUCGCCUAAAGGAAAACCGCGUUAAUUGAACGCGACGCCGAACUGGAUGGGCCCCCAAGCGCAUUUCUUCAGUUUCACAAAACAGCGGCCUCUCAGCUGCUAUCUAACGGACUGAAAUUCACGCAGACGCAGGGAUACGGGGUUCUGAAACCUUAAUGGGCCGUCGUGAAACUUGCACUUAACAGCAUCACGCAGCUAUGCUUUGAAAGAACGCUGGUUGUUACUGCUUCUGCGUGAAGCGCUCGAGCUGGUGCCAUCAGGGCAAGAAAUCCAAGGAACGGUGCCCGUUCCACACGCCUGGGUUAUCACGCCGCGUGCGCCAGUGCGACCUCCCGUCCUUGGCUCCAAGGAAGGCUCUGCAGUCGGACACAGCAAAAUCGAAACAGCGGAAGCCCAUAAAGCUCACGUAGGCUUCGGUCCGAUGCUGUCACGGGCUACUUUUCCGUGGCCUCUACUUUCCGGGACACAGUUUUGUGCUCGCGGGUAAUUACAAGCACAAAAGCCAGCGCAUCUAUUGCUGUUGACAAAACUGCAAUUGCAAAUCACGUAGCUUGGCACGCAGCAGCCCCUGCGCCGGCAGCUAAUUUCAAGGCUCAAAGCGAAGAAUGGAAGUAACUCAUGAGAGACCAUCAUCUGCGGAAGGCUUCCGAUGUGAAAAGGAGAAUGUCUUCGAUGCCACCGGUGACCCGGGAUUACUAAAAGUGAAAACUUUUUCAUUCCUACGCUGUGUGUGCAUCGCUCUCGAAGCGAAAGCCGAGUGGCGACUCUCAUUUUGCUUCGUUUCUAGGUAAUUUCACUUGGAGGUAACGCAACUUUGUGCCGCAGUGUGUGAGUACAACGGACAAACGUAUGGGGAAAAAAAGACCUUUCUGUUUAAAAGUCUUAUUUUCACAGAACUGAAACCAAGUCAUGUCGUUGUGCUUAAAUUCUGCUAAUUUCACCAUCUGGGUAAUGAUGUAAUUCUUUUUCUUACGCUUUCUAAAAAAAGACCUUCUUGCCAAACCGGCGUUUGGUUAAAACAGGAGUCGCAACCCGCUAUAAACAAAAAAAACCCCAAUUUAUUACUCUGAAACGUGUUCCUGUUGUUUCAAUCAUCCAUUUCGCUAGACAGGAUCUGGUGAGAAGAGCUUUUCGGCGAGUAAUGCAGGGUUGGCCGACCAUUAACACGCACAGAGCGGAGCAGCAAAAUGCAUUGCUUGUUUCAAAUGUUUCAAAUGUUAGCCUAUUAUGAAUGUUUUUUUCCCCUACAACCCUUAUCCUGCACACGCUACUUCUCUUUGAGCUUGAAGCACCUUCGAAUCCCACGUUUCCUGGGAUAAAAUGAAAUUCCCACUUCUUCUUGUACAAACAGAAAAUCUUCUAUUUGUACAAUAGAAAAUCUUCUAUUUGUAGCUGACAUUUCAAUCUGAGCCAGAUUUAAACCUUAGGUAUACCGUGCUUAACUGGAGUAACGCCAUAAAUUUAAAGAUUUAUUCCUUGGUUUUGUUCCUUCUAUAACUAACACUGGAAUCUGGCCAAAUACUCCUAAGAAUUAGCACAUAGAAACUCAUGGAAGAUUAAUACCGAGAACAAACAAACAAGCCCGGCAGUAUUUGGAGAAGGAAACCUUAUUCCAUGACUAGCACCUUUUUAAAUUAAAAUCCCAGAGAGACUGUAAAGUUUAGCUGCUUAAGAGUUAAAAAAAUAAAAACAAGAAACAUUGGGAACAGGCAGGCUUUUGGCUUCUGCUAGCAAACAAAAAUCCAAACUCGAGGUGAAAUUCGGAAGGCUGCUUUGAAGGGCAUCCACAGAACUUAGGAUGCUUCAAAAAAACAUGAAAAAUUCUUUUACUGUCUUCUUCUGUUGAGAUGAUUAUUUUUUUUCCACCUCAAGCACGGAGCUUAGUCACAACUUUACAGCAACCUCAUGGUAUUAAGUGGUAUUUUGUUUAAGGAAGCCAGGGAACAAGCCCAGCCACAGCAGCACCGUAAUGGCUAGCAUUUGUACAGCACUGAAAAGCAAAUGCUACGAGGUUUAAAAACUGCUGGCAUGCCAGCAGGGAACAGAGAAAGGCAUCUUGUUCUCCCUUGAAGUAAGUAAAACUACAGCAAUUUUGCUGCAAUGAAUGCGCACGUCCUGUGGGCAAGAAAGGUGCGUUACGGACCAAGAUAAGUUAAAAAGGAAGAGUUCGGCUGCAGCUAAAACAUCUGAAGCCAUGUGGACUGCGUGCUGCGGACUAAGCUUCUCCCACGGGACAAUAAAGGCAGCUUAAGGAAUUUUUUUUGGUAUUAACAUUUGAAUCUUGACAAUGUUUUUCAAACCACGUUAAGCAACUCAACUGAGCUAAGACAAUAAUAAAAAAAAAAGCGCCCAUUUUAUUCAGCAGAGCACGCCAAUGGGAUGUUUUAGAUUUAUACUGAUGAAACACGGCCAGGCCCAGAGUGAAACGAACAGCUAAUGGAUACGAAUUCUGGUCAGCUACCCUGGGUCGCGCCACGGCAACUGGCUGGCGUGCAGGGCUGUGCUGUCAGCGUGCCGCGGCCAACGCAGCACCAGAACCAGCCUCGAGGCCGGCGAAUGCUUCUUCCCAAUCCACCGCUUCACUUCCAAGCUCACCCUUCUCUUCUGACAGCAUUUAGCCAAGUGAGACUGAGAUGCCAAAAUCCAUCCCGAAUGUUUAAGCUCUCAUACAAGAGUGCUGAGUUCCGGCAUUACUGAUUUCCAGGUUUACACAUAGAAACAAGCUCUAAUUUGGUUAUAAAUCUAAACUGCAGAUUUUCAAUGGAUAAAUGGCAAUGCUGAUGCAUCUGACCAGCUACGCUUCUAAAAUCUGUCAGGUCUCCUAACUUCACAGAAAACCUUGCUCCAUCCAAGGCAACUUUCUGACUUCCAGGCGCAGCACUGAGGGUACCGCGAACACUGCCUGGGAACCAGGGAUUUAGAUACGGUUAAUAAAGGCACAGCUCCUUUAGCUUUGUUGCAAAGUUACAAUUGCUCGACAGUAGUUAACUACGGGCUAGGAAACAAAGGGAGGUUGGUUUUUUUUUUAUUUCAUUCUUUAGCAAUGACACUCAGGCGUAAACCUUUAAUAAGACUAAGUAUUUUGUGAAGCUGCAAAAAUCAAUAGAAAAAUACGUACAGCUUUGCAAAACGCCUCCUGUUUCCAGAAGCAGAGCUGGGCUAUCACAAGUGAGAACAACAGUGGCUUUAAUAAUAAAGGCAGUGGUAGGGUGGCUUUUUCUUUUUUUUUUUUUUCACUGGAUUGAGCAAAACACAGUCCGUGUAAAGCCGCAGAUAGUAAUUCACUGGCUUU